UUUAUGGAGAGUUUGAUCCUGGCUCAGGAUGAACGCUGGCGGCGUGCCUAAUACAUGCAAGUCGAGCGAACGGACGAGAAGCUUGCUUCUCUGAUGUUAGCGGCGGACGGGUGAGUAACACGUGGAUAACCUACCUAUAAGACUGGGAUAACUUCGGGAAACCGGAGCUAAUACCGGAUAAUAUUUUGAACCGCAUGGUUCAAAAGUGAAAGACGGUCUUGCUGUCACUUAUAGAUGGAUCCGCGCUGCAUUAGCUAGUUGGUAAGGUAACGGCUUACCAAGGCAACGAUGCAUAGCCGACCUGAGAGGGUGAUCGGCCACACUGGAACUGAGACACGGUCCAGACUCCUACGGGAGGCAGCAGUAGGGAAUCUUCCGCAAUGGGCGAAAGCCUGACGGAGCAACGCCGCGUGAGUGAUGAAGGUCUUCGGAUCGUAAAACUCUGUUAUUAGGGAAGAACAUAUGUGUAAGUAACUGUGCACAUCUUGACGGUACCUAAUCAGAAAGCCACGGCUAACUACGUGCCAGCAGCCGCGGUAAUACGUAGGUGGCAAGCGUUAUCCGGAAUUAUUGGGCGUAAAGCGCGCGUAGGCGGUUUUUUAAGUCUGAUGUGAAAGCCCACGGCUCAACCGUGGAGGGUCAUUGGAAACUGGAAAACUUGAGUGCAGAAGAGGAAAGUGGAAUUCCAUGUGUAGCGGUGAAAUGCGCAGAGAUAUGGAGGAACACCAGUGGCGAAGGCGACUUUCUGGUCUGUAACUGACGCUGAUGUGCGAAAGCGUGGGGAUCAAACAGGAUUAGAUACCCUGGUAGUCCACGCCGUAAACGAUGAGUGCUAAGUGUUAGGGGGUUUCCGCCCCUUAGUGCUGCAGCUAACGCAUUAAGCACUCCGCCUGGGGAGUACGACCGCAAGGUUGAAACUCAAAGGAAUUGACGGGGACCCGCACAAGCGGUGGAGCAUGUGGUUUAAUUCGAAGCAACGCGAAGAACCUUACCAAAUCUUGACAUCCUUUGACAACUCUAGAGAUAGAGCCUUCCCCUUCGGGGGACAAAGUGACAGGUGGUGCAUGGUUGUCGUCAGCUCGUGUCGUGAGAUGUUGGGUUAAGUCCCGCAACGAGCGCAACCCUUAAGCUUAGUUGCCAUCAUUAAGU
rnacentral:rRNA from 1 species